rnacentral:rRNA from 1 species
AGAGUUUGAUCCUGGCUCAGGAUAAACGCUGGCGGCGCGCAUAAGACAUGCAAGUCGAACGAACUUAACCAUUAGUUUACUAUUGGAGCGGUUAGUGGCGGACUGGUGAGUAGCACGUAAGCAACCUGCCUAUCAGAGGGGAACAACAGUUAGAAAUGACUGCUAAUACCGCAUAUGCCUUGAGUAUCACAUGGUACAAAAGGGAAAGGAGCAAUCCGCUGAUAGAUGGGCUUGCGUCUGAUUAGAUAGUUGGUGAGGUAACGGCCCACCAAGUCGACGAUCAGUAGCCGGACUGAGAGGUUGAACGGCCACAUUGGGACUGAGAUACGGCCCAGACUCCUACGGGAGGCAGCAGUCGGGAAUAUUGCGCAAUGGAGGAAACUCUGACGCAGUGACGCCGCGUGCAGGAAGAAGGUUUUCGGAUUGUAAACUGCUUUAGACAGGGAAGAAACAAGACAGUACCUGUAGAAUAAGCUCCGGCUAGCUACGUGCCAGCAGCCGCGGUAAUACGUAGGGAGCAAGCGUUAUCCGGAUUUAUUGGGUGUAAAGGGUGCGUAGACGGGAAAUUAAGUUAGUUGUGAAAUCCCUCGGCUUAACUGAGGAACUGCAACUAAAACUGGUUUUCUUGAGUGCUGGAGAGGAAAGUGGAAUUCCUAGUGUAGCGGUGAAAUGCGUAGAUAUUAGGAGGAACACCAGUGGCGAAGGCGACUUUCUGGACAGUAACUGACGUUGAGGCACGAAAGUGUGGGGAGCAAACAGGAUUAGAUACCCUGGUAGUCCACACCGUAAACGAUGGAUACUAGGUGUAGGGUGUGAUAAACAUUCUGUGCCGUCGCAAACGCAGUAAGUAUCCCACCUGGGGAGUGCGGCCGCAAGGUUGGAACUCAAAGGAAUUGACGGGGGCCCGCACAAGCAGUGGAGUAUGUGGUUUAAUUCGACGCAACGCGAAGAGCCUUACCAGGGCUUGACAUAUACAUGAAAGUCUAAGAGAUUAGACCCCUCUUCGGAGCGUGUAUACAGGUGGUGCAUGGUUGUCGUCAGCUCGUGUCGUGAGAUGUUGGGUUAAGUCCCGCAACGAGCGCAACCCCUGUUCUUAGUUACCAGCGAGUUAAGUCGGGAACUCUAAGAAGACUGCCGGUGAUAAAUCGGAGGAAGGUGGGGACGACGUCAAAUCAUCAUGCCCUUUAUGUCCUGGGCUACACACGUACUACAAUGGCUGUAACAAAGGGAAGCUAAGCCGCGAGGUGGAGCAAAACCCAAAAAAGCAGUCUCAGUUCGGAUUGAAGGCUGUAAUUCGCCUUCAUGAAGCCGGAAUUGCUAGUAAUGGCAGGUCAGCAUACUGCCGUGAAUACGUUCCCGGGCCUUGUACACACCGCCCGUCACACCAUGAGAGUUGGGAAUACCCGAAGCCUGUGAGCUAACUUUUAGAGGCAGCAGUCGAAGGUAGAAUCAAUGAUUGGGGUGAAGUCGUAACAAGGUA